rnacentral:other from 1 species
CGGGUACUGCGCGAUACGUCACAGGCGAUUAUGUCCCUGGGCCAACAGUGUUCCACUCGGGAGCUGUCCCUACCGGCGGUGUGCCGUCGGCACACGGCGCCCACCUGCACAUGCAGGCGCCAGUGGUACUAGAACGCCAACGGUCGAUGCGGUCCCGUC